rnacentral:rRNA from 1 species
AGAGUUUGAUCCUGGCUCAGAUUGAACGCUGGCGGCGUGCUUAACACAUGCAAGUCGAACGGCAGCGCGGGGAGCUUGCUCCCUGGCGGCGAGUGGCGGACGGGUGAGUAAUACGUGGGAAUCUGCCUGAUAGUGGGGAACAACCCGAGGAAACUCGGGCUAAUACCGCAUACGCCUUACGAGGGAAAGCGGGGGACCUUCGGGCCUCGCGCUAUCAGAUGAGCCCGCGUCCGAUUAGCUUGUUGGUGAGGUAAUGGCUCACCAAGGCGACGAUCGGUAGCUGGUCUGAGAGGAUGAUCAGCCACACUGGGACUGAGACACGGCCCAGACUCCUACGGGAGGCAGCAGUGGGGAAUAUUGGACAAUGGGCGAAAGCCUGAUCCAGCAACGCCGCGUGUGUGAAGAAGGCCUUAGGGUUGUAAAGCACUUUCAGUGGGGAAGAAAAGCAGGGCGCUAAUAUCGCUCUGUAAUGACGUUACCCACAGAAGAAGCACCGGCUAACUCCGUGCCAGCAGCCGCGGUAAUACGGAGGGUGCGAGCGUUAAUCGGAAUUACUGGGCGUAAAGGGCGCGUAGGCGGCUCGUCAAGUCGGAUGUGAAAGCCCCGAGCUUAACUCGGGAAUUGCAUUCGAUACUGUCGGGCUAGAGUGUGGUAGAGGGAAGUGGAAUUCCCGGUGGAGCGGUGAAAUGCGUAGAUAUCGGGAGGAACACCAGUGGCGAAGGCGGCUUCCUGGACCAACACUGACGCUGAGGCGCGAAAGCGUGGGGAGCAAACAGGAUUAGAUACCCUGGUAGUCCACGCCCUAAACGAUGAGAACUAGCCGUUGGGGGUAUUGAAACCCUUAGUGGCGCAGCUAACGCGAUAAGUUCUCCGCCUGGGGAGUACGGUCGCAAGGUUAAAACUUAAAGGAAUUGACGGGGGCCCGCACAAGCGGUGGAGCAUGUGGUUUAAUUCGAUGCAACGCGAAGAACCUUACCUGCCCUUGACAUCCUCGGAACCGGUCAGAGAUGACCGGGUGCCUUCGGGAGCCGAGAGACAGGUGGUGCAUGGCUGUCGUCAGCUCGUGUCGUGAGAUGUUGGGUUAAGUCCCGCGACGAGCGCAACCCACGUCUUUAGUUGCCAGCAUUCAGUUGGGCACUCUAGAGAGACUGCCGGUGAUAAACCGGAGGAAGGUGUGGAUGACGUCAAGUCAUCAUGCCCCUUACAUCCUGGGCUACACACGUACUACAAUGCUACGGACAAAGGGCUGCAAGUUCGCGAGGACAAGCAAAUCCCAUAAACCGUGGCUCAGUUCAGAUCGUAGGCUGCAACUCGCCUACGUGAAGGCGGAAUCGCUAGUAAUCGCAGGUCAGCAUACUGCGGUGAAUACGUUCCCGGGCCUUGCACUCACCGCCCGUC